CCUACGGGAGGCUGCAGUGGGGAAUAUUGGACAAUGGGGGGAACCCUGAUCCAGCCAUGCCGCGUGUGUGAAGAAGGCCCUCGGGUUGUAAAGCACUUUCAGUGAGGAAGAACGCCUGGUGGUUAAUACCCAUCAGGAAAGACAUCACUCACAGAAGAAGCACCGGCUAACUCCGUGCCAGCAGCCGCGGUAAUACGGAGGGUGCGAGCGUUAAUCGGAAUUACUGGGCGUAAAGCGCGCGUAGGUGGCUUGAUAAGCCGGUUGUGAAAGCCCCGGGCUCAACCUGGGAACGGCAUCCGGAACUGUCAAGCUAGAGUGCAGGAGAGGAAGGUAGAGUUCCCGGUGUAGCGGUGAAAUGCGUAGAGAUCGGGAGGAAUACCAGUGGCGAAGGCGGCCUUCUGGACUGACACUGACACUGAGGUGCGAAAGCGUGGGUAGCAAACAGGAUUAGAUACCCGUGUAGUC
rnacentral:rRNA from 1 species